rnacentral:rRNA from 1 species
UACGGGGGGGGUAAGCGUUGUUCGGAAUUACUGGGCGUAAAGGGCUCGUAGGCGGCCAACUAAGUCAGACGUGAAAUCCCUCAGCUUAACUGGGGAACUGCGUCUGAUACUGGAUGGCUUGGAUUCGGGAGAGGAAUGCGGAAUUCCAGGUGUAGCGGUGAAAUGCGUAGAUAUCAGGAGGAACACCAAUGGCGAAGGCAGCACUCUGGGACGUGACUGACGCUGAGACGCGAAAGCGUGGGGAGCAAACAGG